rnacentral:sRNA from 1 species
AAUUAAUUUCCGGUCCUGUUUAAUUUCGAAACGGGAGAAAACCAAAUUAUAUAAAGUAAAGAUAUAUUCGUUAAUUGUAAUCGGUUAAAUUUGUUAUUUUGCCGCGUUAGCGCGUUGUCGCUCCCGCUGUCGUUCUUUCUCCGCUUCUUCCGCACGUUGUUGCUCUUUUUCUGCGCGUUGCUCUGCCUUUCGCAACUACCUUCUCAACUUUUCCACAUUCGUCGAUCCAUCCAUAACGCGUAGGGGCAUAGGUUAUAUUGCGGGUUAAUUAGGAUAUAAUUGUCGCAACCCGAAUGUUAAACUGCGGCGUUAUUUAAAUGGAGCCGUAUUACGUACGCAUAUUGCGAGGGGCAACCUGUCCGAAACACCCAAAUUAACGAAUCGACCGAUAUACGGACGUAUUCAAAUGUAAAAUUAACCAGGGCCUUGGGCCAGGUAAAUGGAUUACAUUUAAACCCAUAUUUAUUAGCGAUUUUUGGCGGCCAUAAAACUUCGGCUUUUUAUAUUUAUAUGCACAUUUGCAGGGACCAAUUGUGCGGUCGUAAUAUUUAAUGGAAAAUUUCCUGCGGCGGUCUUUGCAUUAAAUGGUAUUUAUAGGCGGUUUGGACGGUAUUUAGCCUGUAUAGGCGAUUGGCGAUUCAGGGCUUCAAAUAACGGCCGGACCACUAAUUUAAUCGCAUAUAAUUGGCUGACCAAACUUUUAAUCCCGCGUACGGUCCUCUACCACCUAGCGUCAAAUAAUAAUAGUUUCCUGGCUGCCCAAUUUAAUAUAUUUUACGCGUUAAAACAGCAAAUACCAUAUAAUAUUAUAUUAGCUAACCUCGUUGGUACGCUUUAACCAUAGCAAUAUAUUGGACUAUUAUAAUUGUAAAUAUAAUAUUUCCUAGGUGCGUUAAAAAUAGCGUAAAUUAAAGCAAAAACUAUAUACUGGCAAUUUACCGCGGUAUUACGGUUUUGGAAGGUUGGAAUGGUAUUAUAAUCCUAAACGUAUUUAAAUGCGCAUAAACGACGGCGCGUGCUAAAAUAAAUUUACACCAUUUUUGCCCAAUGCAGGGAUUUUUUUAUAUGCCCCGUUUAUAAAACUCCACACCCGCACCGUACAAAAAUAUAAAAUAUAACCUAUAAUUAUAGGGCCACCCUCCGCUUACGGAAUAUAGUUCCGAUAAGUUUACCCAGUUCGACCACAAUAAUUGCUUCCAUAUCCGGUGCUUUUCUAACCGCCAUAAAUUAUUAGCUUUAUUUUUCCGAAAAGCCGUUUGGAUUAUUACCGAAAGUGUUUAGGUAAUUUAAUAUGGACUUCCUAGUUUUAUAUCCCAAAAUGGCCGGCGUCCAAUAAAAAGUAAAUAAAGCAGGAAUAUGGGACGAAAAUAACGAUGGGCGUCCAGGAGUUAUUGGACGAAUUUGGUUCCCAUUAAAUUCCAAACAGGGUUUAUUUUGGCGCAUCCAAAUUUUUAAUUUAUUAAUUUGCCUGCUAGAAGUCCAACAGCACGGCGAAUAAUUAAAUUUUGCGAAAAAAACCUUCACUUUUAUAUGCCGUUUUUUCAGUAAAACUGCAGCGCCUUAACGAAAAAAUAUAUAUUCUGGCCCGUUUGCUGCCGACCCAACAAUACCAACGGCAGCAACAGGUAUAUAUGGCAGGUUCAAAUUCCAAUUUUGUUUUUUACCCGCAUUUUGGGGUGAAAUUAAUCCUAAUUUUUCUAAAGGGUAUUUUUUGUAACGGGCUUAUUCCUAUUAACCUUCACCUCCUAUAAAAGAACGUACAUUAAAACGCACCGAUCCCAUUAUUAUAUUGGCGGUGUCUUUUUUAGGUAAGGACUAAAUUAGACAUUAAUAAAUAGGAAUUUUUGCAAUUCGAACCACAAAAAACCAAUAUUAAAGAGCAAGGGGUUCGAAAACUUUGCUCCCGUUUACCUAUAGCUGGUUACCUGUGGGUUUUUCGGAAUAUUACGUUAGUCGUCCGGGCCGGAUGCGUUAUUCCGUGCAGCAAAUUAAAAAACGGUGAAAAUUAGGAAAAUGGGGGAGAAUAAAUACGGACCAGGCCAUUUUUAAAUCCUUUAUUGCGAGGAUUGGCGAUUAGUAAUAUGGUGGGGUUUUUUGUUUUUGUGGUUUGUUGGUUCGCUUUAUAAUUGUUCGAUAAUAAACUAGGCAAUUAGGGUAAAUGGGUAUUUACUGGAUUCGCUGCCUCGAUUAACGCCUCCAUUUUAAAUAAUAGGUAGUUUUGUCGAUUUAUAUUAUUCCAGCAAAAAACGGGCCCCUUCUUUCCACAAUUCCUGAGCACGGAUUAUAACAGGUGUGGCAUCUUUUUAUUUUACGCUAACUGUCUGUUUUAUCUAUCCCUACCCGUAACUGCCGUAGGUGGACCAUUCGUUCUUUCCAUUUCGUAUAUAUACCACCAUGGAACAAUAUAUUAGCCCUUUCGACACUCUUGGUUUGGAAUAUGGAAUUUAUUUAAAAGACUAUAUCCAAAACGCCUUCCGAGCGGUAUCUUCGAUAAUUCAUGGAGAUUCUCGUAGCGAGAGCACGUCCAAUAAACCAAAAUGGCUUAUUUUCGAACAAAUAACCAACGUUAAAAACUUAUUAUUUAAUUUAUUGCAAAUGGGAUCGCAAUUUACGGAAAAUGCAAAGAAAUUCAGCAUUUUCCCCCGGACAGUUUUUGUGGAAAGAAAGGACAGAACGAACGAAAUUAUAUUUAUAUCCCCUUUAAAAUUACAAAUCCACAAAUUAUUAGUUUUUUGCGAUAAAUGUCAGGUUAUUAUAUAUAAAGAAGACCUGCGACAAUAUCGGCAAACCCAUAACAAUUACUGUUGCACAUAUUGCGAGGCCGAAUUCUCACGACAAGAAUAUCUGAGCCAUUUUACUGUUAAUAACUUUGACAAAUGCCAAAUUUGCUGCAAAACUAUUACAAAAGGGGCGUACACCAAAUACCUGGAGCGGACAUAUAAAUGGGCAAAAUGCCCCUUUUGUUUAAUAUUUUACCCUAAUUUGGACCGGAUAUAAGAGCAUUUGGGCGCGACACAUUUAAUAAGACGUUGCAAUUCUUGCCCCGAAAAUAAUAUAUACGAGCUGUCAAUUUAUAUUUCUAUGGGUUAUUAAUAUGUGACCUGCCUUUGCGGGGCCGAGAUUUGCAACGAAUCGCUAUUGGGUUAUUUAGAACGGUAAUAUUGGUUUUCGGCCUGUUUUAGCGGCGAAAUUUGUAUUAUAAGCGGUUACGACGAUCACGAUUUUAUUUUGGCUUAUAUUAACAAAUCGCACCCCCCAGACCAAUACCCGGUUUGCGAAUAUUUUGUUUUUGGGACCGGAACGUUUUGGGAUUAUUUAUCCCAAAAACAUUACUUCCGGCUUUGCGAAAAAUGCAAUAUUUCGGAUUAUUAUUAAACGGUAACAGGAAUUUAAUCCAACCAGCGAUAAUUACACCUGGACGAAAAUUAUAUAUGGAAAAAAUGUCGCAAUUGUCGAACUGGUAUUUAAAUAAAUCAAAUGCCAAAACAUCUCCAAAAUUCCCAUGGUUAUAUAAUAUGCGAUGUUUGCGCCGACGUAUGGCCCCCCAAUAAAUUAAAGGGAUAUAAAAUGCGAUAGCACCGUCGCUGCGAAAUUUGCGACGUAUAUGUUUUAAACGAAAAUUACCUCCAAUAUUUAAUUACGCACGGAAAAAAACCUUGCCCGUUAUGCGACGAAAUUCUUUUCCUAAAUAAAUUUCCCCUUUAUUUUUCGAUUAAAUAUAACGAAACAAAUAUUUGCCCUAUAUCCGAUUGCAAAAUAUAUUAUUCUAAAUUAGGCCUGCAAAUUUAUAUUUGCCAAACCCACGGGUGGGGAAAAUGCCGCUUUUAUAAUAUAAUAACUGCUUCUGGGCAGCCAUUGCGAAACCAUAAAUUUAAAUACAGCCCCAAAAUUUGCCAAAUUUGUAACGAACAAAUUCCUGCAGACGAUUUUCGACAAUAUUAAAAGGCCGAAUAUUAGAUCCAGGAAUGCCCCUUUUGCGAAAAGUUAGGGAAUAACCUCCUCCAUUAUAUCCACAAUUAUUACCCUUUAGCCGAAAUAAGCGCGAAAAAUGCAAACCAAAAUAAUACGGCAUUUAAUUUCCGCAAAGGGGUUUGUAAAGCCGAUGCUGGGCUGGUUAUACCGAAUCCUGCCUUUCAACCAGCGUAAGAUAAGUUUUGGGGUAUUUAUAAUUUACUAAAUAAUAUGCGAGAAUUUUUAAAGCAAAAUUUGUCAACGCCCUUUUAUCCAGCGAUCACUUUAUCUGCAACCAAUAUUAUAGGGUCGAUUGGAAAUAUAUUGGAAAUUUAAAGUCGAUAAGGCGUACGUAACGCCAGGGCCACAACACCCAUCCGUAAUUAGGUGAAUAUCUUAUCGGAAAAGGAAGAUAUAAACGUAUUAUUUCGACAAGUAGAAUUACCUGAGGGAGCUUAUUUUAAUCGGCGGUUUGAACGAUUACAUAUAUUACCAGGAUAUAUAACGAAACGCAAUUUUGCCGAAAAUCAUACCACACCCGCUAGCAAACGUCGCAAAAAGGUUAAUAUAAAACAACUGGUUACCUAUAUUGGAAGUGAAAAAACCAAAUUUGGAUUUCGUACUUUUAUUUAAUUAUAUUUUACCAAUACAAAAACGGCCACGCCCGCAUUCCCCGCUAUACCGGACCUUGCACCGGACCUUUUGCAACUGGUUUUAAAAUUUAGCGAAAAAGCGGCAAAUUAUAAAAAGGCGAUUGGUAUAUAUCGGUUAUAUUAAUAUAUCAGCCUAUUGGAGUUGGCCAAAGUUCUCCAUAAUUCCAAAUAUGGACGCAUUCGAGUUAAUUUAAAUAAAUA